rnacentral:rRNA from 1 species
UACGAAGGGGGCUAGCGUUGUUCGGAAUUACUGGGCGUAAAGCGCACGUAGGCGGGUCGUUAAGUCAGGGGUGAAAUCCCGGAGCUCAACUCCGGAACUGCCUUUGAUACUGGCGAUCUUGAGAUCGGAAGGGGUGAGUGGAAUUCCCAGUGUAGAGGUGAAAUUCGUAGAUAUUGGGAAGAACACCAGUGGCGAAGGCGGCUCACUGGUCCGAUACUGACGCUGAGGUGCGAAAGCGUGGGGAGCAAACAGG